GUGGGUUAUAUAAUAGAAAAAAAUGCUCUGAACUUUAAACUCAAAUUCUUUUUAUUUCUUAAUAUUUUUCUAACCGAUAUUAUAGUGGGGAUUGGAGCUGCCCUGGCUGCACGAGCGCAAUUGGACAGCCGAUGACAGGAGGCUUGUUGGCGGCGUUUUCGAAUAUUGGAUUUCUGAUUGAGGGGGAUCCAUUGUGCUGCCAUAUCAGGGGCACGAGAACAGCACGAGCCGGCCGAACAAAGGCAGCAGAUGGCUUUCCUGCUCCUCGAUGAAUUAUGUUGAAGUUACAGAGACACAGGGACCAUUAAGAGUUCUCCGGGGGGGAAUUAAAAGUCCUGCACAGUCCUGCACAGGAGAGCAGAACCAGUCAAUUGGGGGCGUGGCCUAAACGAGGUGUCCGCCCACAAUGAGAACGCGUCUCUGUCAUUGAGCACUACACCUCGUGUUGGAAAAGGGCGCUUAAUACAACUGCAGUCAUCAACCAGCAACCACUUAAGAGUACUGCAGCAUGGGCUUUAAAGACGGGCACAGUGGCCACAAAGUCGGAUCCUGAUCACGCGUGAUUGUGUCGCUGUGGGAGAGUCAACACUCCAGCAUGGUGAGUUCACGGGGACAGAAGACAUCGAACUGAAGUCUUAAAAGAUGUAAGCAAGGAAGGAAUAAGAUGAAGCUGAGAAUAAGAUAUGUAUCUCCUCAUUUAUUAUAAUGUUGUAUUGUAAUGGCAAUAAUUUUUUAACAAUGCCCAUUUUUAGGUCCAGAUGUUGAUGUGGGCUCCUUACUUCAGUAAAGAAACAUGUGCAAACAUUAUUGAUGAUAUUGUAAGUACAGUAUAUACAGUAUACGGCCUUUAGUGGCCUCUUA